UGCGUAGGUAGGCAGGUAAGUUCAGUGGUGAAAUCUCUGGGCUUAACCCGGAAACUGCCGUUGAUACUAUCUGCCUUGAACGUAGUGGAGGUGAGCGGAAUAUGUCAUGUAGCGGUGAAAUGCUUAGAUAUGACAUAGAACAUCGAUUGCGAAGGCAGCUCGCUACACUAUGAUUGACACUGAGGCACGAAAGCGUGGGAUCAAACAGGAUUAGAUACCCUGGUAGUCCACGCCCUAAACGAUGGAUACUCGACAUCAGCGAUAAACUGUUGGUGUCUGAGCGAAAGCAUUAAGUAUCCCACCUGGGAAGUACGACCGCAAGGUUGAA
rnacentral:rRNA from 1 species